rnacentral:rRNA from 1 species
UACGGAGGGUGCGAGCGUUAAUCGGAAUUACUGGGCGUAAAGGGUCCGCAGGGGGUUUGUCAAGUCUGAUGUGAAAUCCCGAGGCUCAACCUCGGAACUGCAUUGGAAACUGAUGAACUGGAGUACUGGAGAGGAAAGUGGAAUUCUUGGUGUAGCGGUGGAAUGCUUAGAUAUCAAGAGGAACAUCAAUAGCGAAGGCAGCUUUCUGGACAGUUACUGACCCUCAUGGACGAAAGCGUGGGUAGCAAACAGG